rnacentral:tRNA from 1 species
GGCCGGUUAGCUCAGUUGGUUAGAGCGUGGUGCUAAUAACGCCAAGGUCGCGGGUUCGCUACCCGUACUGGCCA